GGGAAUGUGGCUUAGUGGUAGAGUGCUUGACUAGCAUGCAUGAAGCCCUGGGUUCGAUUCCUCAGUACCA
rnacentral:tRNA from 1 species